UACGUAGGAGGCGAGCGUUGUCCGGAAUCAUUGGGCGUAAAGAGCGUGUAGGCGGCUUGGCAAGUCUGACGUGAAAGCCCGCGGCUCAACCGCGGAUUGUCGUUGGAAACUGCCUCGCUAGAGUCCGGAAGAGGAGAGCGGAAUUCCUGGUGUAGCGGUGGAAUGCGCAGAUAUCAGGAAGAACACCCGUGGCGAAGGCGGCUCGCUGGGACGGUACUGACGCUGAGACGCGAAAGCGUGGGGAGCGAACAGG
rnacentral:rRNA from 1 species